ACUGGCAGUCGAGCGGANAGAAGGGAGCUUGCUCCCGGAUGUUAGCGGCGGACGGGUGAGUAACACGUGGGUAACCUGCCUGUAAGACUGGGAUAACUCCGGGAAACCGGAGCUAAUACCGGAUAGUUCCUUGAACCGCAUGGUUCAAGGAUGAAAGACGGUUUCGGCUGUCACUUACAGAUGGACCCGCGGCGCAUUAGCUAGUUGGUGGGGUAAUGGCUCACCAAGGCGACGAUGCGUAGCCGACCUGAGAGGGUGAUCGGCCACACUGGGACUGAGACACGGCCCAGACUCCUACGGGAGGCAGCAGUAGGGAAUCUUCCGCAAUGGACGAAAGUCUGACGGAGCAACGCCGCGUGAGUGAUGAAGGUUUUCGGAUCGUAAAGCUCUGUUGUUAGGGAAGAACAAGUGCGAGAGUAACUGCUCGCACCUUGACGGUACCUAACCAGAAAGCCACGGCUAACUACGUGCCAGCAGCCGCGGUAAUACGUAGGUGGCAAGCGUUGUCCGGAAUUAUUGGGCGUAAAGGGCUCGCAGGCGGUUUCUUAAGUCUGAUGUGAAAGCCCCCGGCUCAACCGGGGAGGGUCAUUGGAAACUGGGAAACUUGAGUGCAGAAGAGGAGAGUGGAAUUCCACGUGUAGCGGUGAAAUGCGUAGAGAUGUGGAGGAACACCAGUGGCGAAGGCGACUCUCUGGUCUGUAACUGACGCUGAGGAGCGAAAGCGUGGGGAGCGAACAGGAUUAGAUACCCUGGUAGUCCACGCCGUAAACGAUGAGUGCUAAGUGUUAGGGGGUUUCCGCCCCUUAGUGCUGCAGCUAACGCAUUAAGCACUCCGCCUGGGGAGUACGGUCGCAAGACUGAAACUCAAAGGAAUUGACGGGGGCCCGCACAAGCGGUGGAGCAUGUGGUUUAAUUCGAAGCAACGCGAAGAACCUUACCAGGUCUUGACAUCCUCUGACAACCCUAGAGAUAGGGCUUUCCCUUCGGGGACAGAGUGACAGGUGGUGCAUGGUUGUCGUCAGCUCGUGUCGUGAGAUGUUGGGUUAAGUCCCGCAACGAGCGCAACCCUUGAUCUUAGUUGCCAGCAUUUA
rnacentral:rRNA from 1 species